GGGGUUGAGAGGAGAAAGUUGGUAGGGGCUCUGCCAGCUGUCCAAGGGCUGGGCCCAUUCUUCAGAGGAGGCGCCGGGGGGUAAGCAGAGGGCGACGACGUGCCGCCCAGGGGUUCGGAUGCGCCCACCGCCCACCCCCACCGGAGGAGAAGCUGUGCAGGAAGUGGCUGCUGUCGGCCCGGAGCCCCAGGGCACCCGCCGGCAUCGAGGAGUACUUGGCCUCUCCCCCUGGACGCCCUUUCCUGGGCAAGGCCCUAGAAGAACAGCUCACAGGGUCUAACCCAGGUAUUCCGCAGCGCCCCCCAACACAGCCCUCUGGCGUCUGGCCCCCCUCUGACACUGUCCACUUCAGCAAGUGAAAAGGGAAGCUCUGCAUCUGGGGAGAAACCCAGACCAUCACUGCCACGGCACAUCCACCAUGGGCUGGAGGACUGGAGACGGGAGAGGAGGGUCUGCAGGGGACACUGAGGACAGGUCAGGAAAGCAUCUAUCCAGAAAGAAAAAGAAGAGGAUGAAGAAAAACCCUCCCCGACAAACGCCCCUGAGAGAUAUCCAGCCUGGGUCCACAAGGGUUCUUCCUCGGCCUUGAGAAAGAAGCCAGCUGCUGGACCACAGAACUUUGUUUCCCCGAUUCACUAGGAAUGGGUGUUUCAGCCACAGGCUGGAACCGGAGGACAACACUGUCUUCUGUUUUCGGGACGUUCAGCCCCACCCAAGGCAGGCCACCACAUUGUACAACAUCAUAGCCUUUGGGCGGGGGGUGCUCCCUGGAACUGAGCAGUGCACAGCUCUUGCAACUGUACGCAGCAGCCCUGCACCCAGGCUAGGGGACGGGCAAGUGUAGCUUUGCCUGUGCGCCAAUCACUGCUAGGAUGGACACCUGCAGACCAGCCAGAGGCAUCUGUGAACAGGAGGCUGAACACACCUGCUUCAAGUUCAGGUCCGCAGGCCUGUUCCACAGCGAAUCCAGAGGCAUGUGAAAUGUGGGGCUGAACACCUCGGCAGUCAGCCAGGCACCAGGUCUGUGUGGACCCUCAGCUCCUUCCCCAGACCCCCCCGGACCUCCCCAGAUCUCUUUGGCAGGAAGAUCACUAUCCAUAAGUUCAAGUCAAUAAAUAUUUCCUAAGCCCUUG